rnacentral:rRNA from 1 species
UAUCCAGGCAAAUCCGGAUAACCAAGGCUGAGGUGUGAUGACGAGGCACUACGGUGCUGAAGUAACAAAUGCCCUGCUUCCAGGAAAAGCCUCUUAGCAUCAGGUAACAUCAAAUCGUACCCCAAACCGACACAGGUGGUCAGGUAGAGAAUACCAAGGCGCUUGAGAGAACUCGGGUGAAGGAACUAGGCAAAAUGGUGCCGUAACUUCGGGAGAAGGCACGCUGGUGUGUAGGUGAAGUCCCAGCGGAUGGAGCUGAGACCAGUCGAAGAUACCAGCUGGCUGCAACUGUUUAUAAAAAACACAGCAC